GAUGAACGCUGGCGGCGUGCCUAAUACAUGCAAGUCGAGCGAACAGAUGAGGAGCUUGCUCCUCUGACGUUAGCGGCGGACGGGUGAGUAACACGUGGAUAACCUACCUAUAAGACUGGGAUAACUUCGGGAAACCGGAGCUAAUACCGGAAAAUAUAUUGAACCGCAUGGUUCAAUAGUGAAAGACGGUUUUGCUGUCACUUAUAGAGGGAUCCGCGCCGCAUUAGCUAGUUGGUAAGGUAACGGCUUACCAAGGCAACGAUGCGUAGCCGACCUAAGAGGGUGAUCGGCCACACUGGAACUGAGACACGGUCCAGACUCCUACGGGAGGCAGCAGUAGGGAAUCUUCCGCAAUGGGCGAAAGCCUGACGGAGCAACGCCGCGUGAGUGAUGAAGGUCUUCGGAUCGUAAAACUCUGUUAUUAGGGAAGAACAAAUGUGUAAGUAACUAUGCACGUCUUGACGGUACCUAAUCAGAAAGCCACGGCUAACUACGUG
rnacentral:rRNA from 1 species